UUUAAAAAAUUUUGAAAAAAAUGCACCAAAACAAGAGAUUUCAAGCUGUAAAAUGAUUUUUUUAAAAUCUCGAUACGAUCGUUUUUCACCAAGUUACAGCCUUCCAAAAAUCACUAAAAAAUUUAUAAAAUUUUUCUGCUCCUUUAAUUUUUUGCAUUAGUGUAUAUUUAUAUUUGUAUGAGUGCGGGAAAUGCAUCCGUCUUUGAUGAACGCCAAAAUCCAAGAGGACGUCUCUCGAGAAUCGCCGAGCCUCAUACCCCUUACUCGCAGGUUGGCCAUCGUCUACAAAAACAAAACUGCCCCAAAACUCGACAGCAGUGACCCCAGCGAUAAGUGGACUGCUUGUUUAUCGGCCGUUGUUGUAGGAGGAGGUCGCUCUCGUUUUGGGGCGAGUCGAAUUUAAAUUUGAAUAAAAAUACAUAAAUUUUACCCCGUUACAAUACCUAUUUAUAAGUCAUGUCAGAUACUGAAAAUAAAAAAGUUGACGAAAUAAGUGAUCUAAAUGAGGGACUACUUAAUGACGAUGAUAAAUCUAAUGAUGAAGAAUCUCAGAGAGAAGAAAUUGAGCUAUCAUCAUCAGAUUUCAUGAAGAGUAUUAACGCCUUUUCAUCAACAGUUGAAAUAGUUGGUAAAAUCGAAGAAAUUUUUGCCACAAAGAAAAUAACUUUUCCGGAUGGACGUGAAGACUCGUACGUAUUUCAGUUUGUUAUUUCUAAUGCUGAAGACGAAAUGCUCCAAAUCAUUGCUUGGAACGAUGAAAUCAAUCACAUUGUUGAUGAUAUUACUAUUGACUCGGUCAUUCACAUUGAUGGUGCAUUUUCAAAAUUUAUUAAUAAAGAUAGUGCGUAUAAUUUUGGAACGCUACCAGUAGAAUUAAUCAUACAAUCGAACACUAAAGUAUGUAUUUUGAGAAAAAUUACAUCUAGACUUGGAUCGAAACAAGCAUAAGAAAUAACAUUAAUAAAUAUUGAAGAAUGUGAAGAUCAUCUCAAAAAAAAAAUCCGCUUGCAAGUCUACAUUAAAACUAAUUUUGACAUUAUAAAGAAAAAAGGAAUAAAUAUGAGUGCUAAUGAUACGUGCUGUGGUUCAUUAGUGAAUAAAAAUAAAUUUUAAAUUGAAGUGAAAAUUAUUAAGUUUAAUGACAAAUUUCGUUGCCCAUUCAACAAAGGUGACCAUGUAGAACUAAUUGGCAUGAUGAAAAAUCUGAAACAAAAUAUAGUAAUGUAUAUUAAUUCAAUUGAAAACAUAAAAAAAAUUGAUAAUGAUAAGAUGACACUGACUCAACUUCUACAAGCCAACAAAGAAAUUGAAAUUAAUCAUAAGAAGAGAAACACAGAGGAAAAUCAUUACUUGAAUAACAAGAAAUCUCGUAAUUAAUGAUUAAAGAAAAAAAAUAUUUGAAAAAAUGAAUUUUAUAUAUAAUAUAAAUUAAUAGCCUUAUUUAAUUUAUUUCUAUUUACUUGUAAUUCGGUUAAAAUGUUAAAAAUAAAUUGCAUUGAAUAGUAUCUAGUGUCUAGUGUCUAGUGUCGUUUUGAAUAUUUUCUUUUUAAAUCAUGAAAAAUCAUCAUAGUCUUUAAGACUAUCAGUGAAUUAUUGCACACACUGAUAGCUGCAGUAAGCAAACGAAUGA